rnacentral:rRNA from 1 species
UACAGAGGUCCCAAGCGUUGUUCGGAUUCCCUGGGCGUAAAGGGUGCGUAGGCGGUCGGGUAAGUCUGAUGUGAAAUCUCACAGCUUAACUGUGAAACUGCAUUGGAUACUAUUCGGCUAGAGAGUUGGAGGGGGGACUGGAAUUCUCGGUGUAGCAGUGAAAUGCGUAGAUAUCGAGAGGAACACCAGUGGCGAAGGCGAGUCCCUGGACAACUUCUGACGCUGAGGCACGAAAGCUAGGGGAGCAAACAGG